CGGAGGUGCGAGCGUUAAUCGGAAUAACUGGGCGUAAAGGGCACGCAGGCGGUGACUUAAGUGAGGUGUGAAAGCCCCGGGCUUAACCUGGGAAUUGCAUUUCAUACUGGGUCGCUAGAGUACUUUAGGGAGGGUAGAAUUCCACGUGUAGCGGUGAAAUGCGUAGAGAUGUGGAGGAAUACCGAAGGCGAAGGCAGCCCCUUGGGAAUGUACUGACGCUCAUGUGCGAAAGCGUGGGGAGCAAACAGGAUU
rnacentral:rRNA from 1 species